rnacentral:rRNA from 1 species
GUGUACACAAGAUAGAGCUCACAUCAAGUUUAUAUAAACUUUACUAUUAAAUCCACCUUCAAAAGCUAUUUUCAUUAACUUUAUCCGUUUUAGUCUAUUAAAUGUAACCCACCUCUGUCUUUUACAUGAGCUGCACCUUUACUUGAAGUCAAUGAUUUUAUCAUGAAUGAAAGUUUUCUAAAGAAACUGACUGACAACAGCGGUAUACAAACUGAUAUACAAAUAAAAGUAGAGUUUAAUCGUGGGUCAUCGUUUAUAGGGCAGGUUCCUCUAAAUGGUUAUCUUGCCGCCAAAUCCGUUAAAUUUCAUUAAUAUUACUAUUCCAAAAUAUUUUAAAUAUAAGUA